rnacentral:misc_RNA from 1 species
AAGUCGUAACAAGGUUUCCGUAGGUGAACCUGCGGAAGGAUCAUUAAUGAAUAGAACUUGAUGGAUUGUAGCUGGCUCUUCUUUGAGCAUGUGCACAUCUGUCAUUUUUAUCUUUCCACCUGUGCAUUGUUUGUAGGACCUUGAGCAUCACAACAUCUUUCUAAGUGUCAACUUAGUCGUGGAGAUUGCUGGAAACUCCCACUCAGCUUUCUUUGAGGUGUUUUAGGGACUAUGUCUAUCAUCAUAAACCACUUUUAAAACCCAGAAUGUCGUAUUGUUUGAAAGGUCUUAUGUACCUAUAAUAACAAUUAAAACAACUUUCAGCAACGGAUCUCUUGGCUCUC